UACGUAGGGCGCAAGCGUUGUCCGGAAUUAUUGGGCGUAAAGAGCUCGUAGGCGGUUUGUCGCGUCUGCUGUGAAAACCUCAGGCUCAACCUGGGGCUUGCAGUGGGUACGGGCAGACUAGAGUGCGGUAGGGGUGACUGGAAUUCCUGGUGUAGCGGUGGAAUGCGCAGAUAUCAGGAGGAACACCGAUGGCGAAGGCAGGUCACUGGGACGGUACUGACGCUGAGACGCGAAAGCGUGGGGAGCGAACAGG
rnacentral:rRNA from 1 species